ACUGCACUUGGGAAUAACUGGGAUUUCACUUGUAACCCAGACAGAUAGAUCAUUCAGAGUAGACAUAUUAAGUGGCGGUGGCAUCGUGAGAAGUAAUCACAGAACUUCCCAUUAUUCGAGUCAGUGCUAAGAAAUCAAAUGAUUUUCUACAUUCUAAAAACAAUGCCUAUAAAUUCUAAUAACCAAGCCUCUUGAGGGUGGCACUAUUUAUUUUCAGUAUAACAUACAAUAUGAAAAAAUGUCAGUGAUUCAAUCAACAAUGCAUACAUACAUGGUGCUCAAUAACCACUAAAUAAACAUUUAUGGAAACAUAAGCGAUAAAGAAUUUAUCACAGGUAAUAUCUCAAAUAAUAUGAUACUCUGUUGGUGCGAGUUGUUGAGAUUUUCAUGUAGUGCUGUCAGAAUUUAUGACGGAUGCAAUAUUCGCUGUAAUUUUGUUAAGUGUUAUGAAUGUUGUGUUCCGCUCCGCAUCCCGGCUCUCAUUACAAAAACGCUCUCACCAGAUGGCGUAUGUACCAGAAUGGAUGCAUUGUACAGUGUUAUGAUACCUCUCCACAUGCUACUUUGAGCUAUUUGCUAUUUCACGUGUGCCACAUGGCUUUAAGCUUUAUUCAGAGUUCAACACGGAAUCUGAUGAGUGAUAUACAGUAUGAGCACUGGCCACCACUGAAUUCACACAUCCUGUGAUACUGAUAACCUGUGAUAUAGUAUGAGAUGAAAAAACUCAAAGCAGCUCAAACAUGGGAAACUGUAUCGGUUCAAACCAAGAAUAAAAAGUAGGAAGGUGAUAUUUGACAUUCACAGUCCCAAAAUAUAAAAUACUGUCCAAAGCCCCCCAAGGAAGGAAGCCCCCUCCCUUCAGGCCAUUAAAUUAAACCAGAAAUUACCAUCUGGAGGUCUAUCAGCGAUCACUGCAGAUAAUCUACCAUGAUCAGAGGUAAUGUCUUAGAGCAGAAGAAAGUCACAUCCUCUUUUGCAUCAGCAAGAUAAAGAAAGAAUUAAUAAAGUAAAACCAUAACGUUAUAAGAAAAUCUACCACAGGUACCAUAGGAUUCAGGGAUGCUACUGCAGAACCAAGAGGAGUCGAAAGAGUACUUUUUGCAUUUGAGGUAAAGGGAUCAUCUGGAAAAUAUCCACAAUGAAGCCACACAUCUGCAGACAGUAGAGGUAAGUGCCACAACACACUCUUCUGAAUCCACAGAUCAGCUGGCAUUACUCUGAAGUAUGGCAAUGUAGUAGUAGGCUAAUCAUACAUAUGUCAAAAAGAAGGAUCAUUUACUAUUUAGACAGAUUGCAACCACUAGCUACUUUUCAUAAUUGUAAUUUAGUCACAGGCCAUUGUGCCAAAGCAGGACCACUCCACCAUUCACUU